CAGUUCUCUUCAGCCAAUCGUUAGCUCUAUUCAGGGAGAUUGAACUAGCACCUCCCUCGCCGAAAAUGGAAGUACGGGAGGCGAUCAACUUUGGUGGUUCAAAACGGGUCAGCAUAAAGUUCAAGCAGUGAAUUCAUGUACUUUGUGUUGUUGCAUUGUAUCCCCACUGCAUAAAAUACGUAUCACUCAA